rnacentral:rRNA from 1 species
UACGUAGGGGGCGAGCGUUGUCCGGAUUUAUUGGGCGUAAAGAGCGCGUAGGCGGUCCGAUAAGUCGGCUGUGAAAGUCCAGGGCUCAACCCUGGAAAGCCGGCCGAUACUGUCGGACUAGAGUCCGGAAGAGGCAAGUGGAAUUCCCGGUGUAGCGGUGAAAUGCGCAGAUAUCGGGAGGAACACCAAUUGCGAAGGCAGCUUGCUGGGACGGUACUGACGCCGAGGCGCGAAAGCUAGGGGAGCAAACAGG